UUGGAAAGCCGCUUAGUGCGCCAACCCUGGAGCCGCACUUCAUUCUCUGCAGAGGAGGCAGCUUCGAGAUGGUGCGCCUUUGUCACUGAGGAGGUACUCUACUAGGUAUGGAAAAACAGCAAAGGGAAAAAAGGACAAAAGAAAUCUCUGCUCUGUGGAGCUUACUUUGUGGAAGAGAGGCAAAUGAUAAACAUAAAACCCAUGCAAAUUAUAAAGCAUGUCAGAGGACAUUGUAUAUUAUAUAAAAGAUAAACAUCAGCAGCAAUUAUAAUAGCCAAGACAUGGAAACAACAGCUUAGCUGUUCCUUGAUGUGGAUAAAGAAAUGAGUGGAUGAAGAAUAUGUGGCAGAUGGAUACAAUGAAAAAGAAUGAAAUCUCACCGUGUGCACCAACUUGGGUGAGCCUUGAGGGCAUUGCGCUCAGUGAAAUGAGUCAGACAAAGACAAAUACUCUAUGAUCUCACUUACAUGUGGAAUCUUAAAUUUAAAAAAAAACCUGAUCUCACAAAUACAGAUGAGGGAGUGGGAGUGGGCAAAAUGCAUGAAGGUAAAGCAGUGAAAGGGUACAAAUUUCCUGUUAUAAAAUAGGUAAGUCACAGAGAUGUAAUGUACAGCAUGGUGACUCUGGUUAGUAAUGUAUUGCUUAUUUGACUGUUGCCAAGAAAGUGGAUCUUGAAAGUGCUCAUCGCAGGGAACAAAAUAUUUUGGUAACAUUGUGAUAACAAAUGUUAACUAGAUUUAUUGCAGUGAUCAUUUUUCAAUGUAUACAAAUACAGAAUUAUUUUGUUACGCACCUGAAACUAAUAAAAUGUUGUAUGUCAAAUAUACUUCAAUUAAAAAGAAGAAAAAAAUCAGUUUAAGGCGUUUUAAAAAUUCUGGGUAGGAGUAUGAGAAUUGCAUUGUGAUAUUUAAUAGGACACUCAGGAUAUACCUUGCUGAGAAGGUGACUGUAGGGAGACAGGUGAUAGAACACCUAGUCUGUUCAAAAGCAGAGAUGAGGCCAUUACUGCUGAAGCCGACUGAGGGAGAGGGAGAGCGUGAGAGCCUUCAUUAGUGCUUACUGGGAUGGCUCAAGUAGCCUCCUAACUAAUUUCCCUGCUUCCACUUUGCCUCUCUCUCCCC